rnacentral:rRNA from 1 species
UACAGGGGGUGCAAACGUUGCUCGGAAUCAUUGGGCGUAAAGCGCACGUAGGCGGUCUGUUAUGUCGGAUGUGAAAGCCCUCGGCUCAACUGAGGAAGUGCAUCCGAAACUGGCAGGCUAGAGUACUAAAGAGGGUCGCGGAAUUCCCGGUGUAGAGGUGAAAUUCGUAGAUAUCGGGAGGAACACCUGUGGCGAAAGCGGCGCACUGGACCACAACUGACGCUGAGGCGCGAAAGCUAGGGGAGCAAACAGG